rnacentral:rRNA from 1 species
UACGAAGGGGGCUAGCGUUGUUCGGAAUUACUGGGCGUAAAGCGCGCGCAGGCGGUCUUCCAAGUCAGUGGUGAAUCCUGGAGCUCAACUCCAGAACUGCCUUCGAUACUGGAAGACUUGAGUCCGGGAGAGGUGAGUGGAACUGCGAGUGUAGAGGUGAAAUUCGUAGAUAUUCGCAAGAACACCAGUGGCGAAGGCGGCUCACUGGCCCAUUACUGACGCUGAGGCACGAAAGCGUGGGGAGCAAACAGG